rnacentral:lncRNA from 1 species
GUACACUUCUCUAUCAAAUAAUCAAUUUACACCGAUAAUCACAAUCAUUGCGGUCUCAAUAUAUAUGCAGCAACAAGCUACAAGGUCUCUUCCAACAAAUUUAUCACCCCUUCAAGUUUUGGAUCUAUAAAUGAACAGAUUUUAUGGCACUUUGCCAAGUAACUUUUCAAAGUACUAUGAUCUAUCAAGUGGUAAGAUUGUUUUUCUCUACUUAUUGGUUGGGCUUUGUUUUCUUCUUAGGCUUAUUUAUGCUUCUUUUCUUUUUUUACCUUUUAUGAUUUAAAGAAAAAUUUAUUCAAUUCUUUGUUUCACAAUUGGUUGUUAUUAUGAUUUAUAGGUUUCAUGCUAAGAUUGGCAAGAUACAAUUAUGUUUUGAUGCUUCCUGGGAUUUUUUUGGUUGCAAAGAAGCGAUUAUGUUCUUUGUGGGUGGGGUUAAGUAAUCGUAUUCCGUAUACCUAUAUUUGUUGUGUUGUACCAAAAAUUUAUAAGUGAUUUUCUGAGGGUAUUUCAUGGAAUGCAAAUUCCAAGAAAAUAUAUUGGUGCUUUUGUUUGUGAAUAGAAGAAACGAUAACAAGUUAUUGAAUUUGAUUACAUAGGUAAACAUGAAUUGAGUUAUGUAAUUUGAUUAAAAUAAUUAACGGUUCGUCUAUUCUCCUUUUAUUCUAUAUUUUCUUCACUUAUGUCUAUUUUGUGACUUUUGUUUAUUUUUUUGUUCUUAUGUAUAUUUUUUAUAGCAAAGUACUUGCACAAGAGUUGGUGAUAACUUAAAACUCAUUCAUAUUCAAAUAUUUUUGUCUUUCUCUUGAUUUUGAGAAGCAAAGACUUUGAUAAGGGUUGCUUCUACCAUCUUAAUAUCAUCAAAUCUUCACAUUUUUACUAUCAUGUUAUUUUUUGCCCAUUAUUUAACCAGCACGAGCGAUCCUUCUCCUCCAUGAGUCACUCAUAAUGUAGAAAUAUACUUUUUAUGAGUUUUGGAUUUUAUUGAAUUCUCUAUAUUUCUAUUUUCUUUCUUUCUUAUAGCUGUUUGGGUUUCUUCUUCUGUGUUUCUCCUCUGCUUCACUUUCAUUGCCCAUAGGGUAACAAUGAAAUCUUUUGUUUUUAUUUGUUCACUGUGUUUAUUACUUGAAGUAUUAAUCUACCAAUCAUUCAUAUUUUAGAUCCACAAAUGAAAUCUUAUAGAUCUAAUUUUACUUGAAGUGUUUUUAUUUUGUUUCUUGGUGCACAUCGUGUUCCCUUACCUAUUGUUUUCACAUUGUUUAUGGAAAUGUUUGAUUCUAAUUAAAAUACACCGUCUUUGUUUGAGGAUUGUUUUUGGAGAGAAGAGCAUAUAGUCCUAAUCUCGAAUACAAUUGCUUUAGUUUAUGCUAUUAUUACUAGUAGACUAAUUUUUUUUUCUUUUUAUGGCCAAAAUAUUUUGUUUCAAAAGUUUUUAUUGUUUUGUAAAUUCUUUUAAGUUAAUAUUUUUCUACAUGCGGUCAAGCAAUAAAAAUAGUGUUCAAUUUUGGAACUUAUCAAAUUGGAAUGAAAACUUUUGUUAGAAUUGUGCAAGGAGUUCACAAGUUAAUAUAUACUCCUCAUCUCUUUUUCUUCCUUUCUAUAUUUCAAAUUUGUUUAUAACUUGAAGGAGAUGGUAAAGGAGGAGGUUGAGUUGAACUUAUUUGUUCACGGCCUAAUAGGCCGUGACAAUAAUCUACUAAUGCUUUAGAAUUUAUUAACUACAUAUGAUCACCUAACUUUUAUUUUUUUUACUUUUGGGACAAUGUUGCUGAAACUAUGAAGAGAAAAGUAAUGCCACAAUCUUAGAGAAGGAUAGACACAAGAAUGAAUGCACCGAAUAAUCAAUUCAACCAAACUAUGUGGGAAACCCAUAGUUAAAAGGGCCACUCUAAUUUGAUUGUCAUCAUCCCCUUCUUCUUGAGCUAUUAGAAUGUUAUCUAUUGUAAUUCACCAUGAACAAAGGCACUUUGUUCCUUUAUUGUUAGAUACUUCAUACUUGAGAGAUAACAUCAUAAAACAUAUUUUAUACUUCAAAUAGAGAUAAUGUGAUAAACUCUACUUCAUACUCUGAU